UUUUUUUUUUUAGAGUCAUCCUGCCUCGGCCUGAGUGACCCUUCUAGCUCCAGGACUCUAUCAACUGCCCUCCUCGUAGGCUGCCAGCGCCGCCCUGGGCACACAGCCUGCCCUGGCCUCAGCUGCUGCUCAGAUGGCUCUGUGCUCCAAGAAGCCGCACCAGGCAUCCUUCUCUGCAGAGCCCUACCUCUGAGCAACUCACGAUCCAGGCUCCCUCCCAUUCCGUUUACGCCUGCGGGAAGAAUGAAGAUG